UUUACUCAGUGCCAGGCACUCUAUGGUCUUUAUGUACAUUUUCUCAUCUAGCCCACUUAACAACCCUAUGAGGCAGAUACUACUUUAGAUCUUUUCCCUCCCCCCCAGAGGAGGAAACUGAAGAGUUGAGAUGGUUAUAUAUUGUACACAGGGGUAAUACAGCUAAUAAAUUCAUAGUGGAACCAGAGUUGAAACCGAGUCUGCCUCCUCUAGAUCCCAUACUCUUAACCAUGACCUUUUACUGCCAAAUGUCUAAUUAAACUUUGCUUUGUGAUUUCAAAGACAGCCCCAGAAAUGUGAAUUACAGUGGUAAAAAUGGAACCUGUUCCAGCCUAUAAAUGAACUAAAUGAAAUUUUUAAGAAUCCAAGGAUUGCUUCUGAAGGAAUGAAGUAAAAAAAGAUGAUUCAUUAAAAAUUUCAGAGUAGAAAAACAGAGUUGAACAUAAUCUAAACUACUACAAGACAAAACUUAUUUACCUAUAUAUCAGAAGUUAUAAAAGAAAAUACAUUUAGCUGAAAAGUUCCAUAACAGUCCCAGAAAGAUCAUCUUCUAUUUGCUGUGUAUCCUGGAGGUGACAGAUAAUGCUGAUAAUGAUGACUAAAUGUUCACUGGCUUCUCCCUACUGAGACCUACCUUCCCCUAGAGCUGUUCUCAUCUUCCCACUGGUUAACAUUCAGAAGGUGAAUCAUCUCAAGUUGAGUAACUUGUUCUGAGUAAAAUAAUGACUCACUGAAUGAAGCCUGAAAUACCAUCCAGCUUCUGGUAGAUCCCCAUACCUCUCUGUGGACUAUUUUAUUUACAAGUCUCCUUCUAAAGUCUGUUUCCAUGAUUUUGAAAAAAUUGCAUUUCUUUAAGAAUAUAUGCAUUGUGAAACAUAAGCAAUAGCAUCUUUCAGCAACUGAAAAUUCACAGUAUGAAGGAUCUUACUUCCCUGACUGACCAGGGAUGGAAACCGUGCCCCCUGCAGUGGAAACAUGGAGACUUAACCAGUAAACCACCACCACAGAUCUGUUCUAUGUCACUGUAGAUUAGUUAUUUUUCCCCCUAGAAUUUCAUAUAAAUGGAAUCAUAUGGUA